ACUUGGGUAUGGUAUAGUGUGUGCUUU
rnacentral:piRNA from 1 species